rfam:Camelus ferus unplaced genomic scaffold scaffold371, whole genome shotgun sequence.
GUGGGUAUAGCUCAGAGGUAAGGCACAUGCUUAGCAUGCAAGAGCUCCUGGGUUCCAUCCCCAAUACCUCCA